rnacentral:RNase_P_RNA from 1 species
UAUUUUGGGUAAUCGCUAUAUUAUAUAGAGGAAAGUCCAUGCUAACACAGUCUGAGAUGAUUGUAGUGUUCGUGCUUGAUGAAACAAUAAAUCAAGGCAUUAAUUUGACGGCAAUGAAAUAUCCUAAGUCUUUCGAUAUGGAUAGAGUAAUUUGAA